UACGAGUGCCUCAAGCGUUAUCCGGAAUCAUUGGGCGUAAAGGUUGUGUAGGUGGUUGUAUUAGUCUUCUGUUAAAUUCUUCGGCUUAACCGGGGGCAUGCAGAGGAAACGGUACAACUAGAGGAUGCGAGGGGUCUGCGGAACUCAUAGUGUAGCGGUAAAAUGCGUUGAUAUUAUGGGGAACACCAAAAGCGAAGGCAGCAGACUGGAGCGCUCCUGACACUGAAACAAGAAAGCGUGGGUCGCGAAUGGG
rnacentral:rRNA from 1 species